AUUCCAGCUCCAAUAGCGUAUAUUAAAGUUGUUGCGGUUAAAAAGCUCGUAGUUGGAUUUCUGCCGAGGACGACCGGUCCGCCCUCUGGGUGAGUAUCUGGCUCGGCCUGGGCAUCUUCUUGGAGAACGUAACUGCACUUGACUGUGUGGUGCGGUAUCCAGGACUUUUACUUUGAGGAAAUUAGAGUGUUUCAAGCAGGCACACGCCUUGAAUACAUUAGCAUGGAAUAAUAAUAUAGGACCUCGGUUCUAUUUUGUUGGUUUCUAGAGCUGAGGUAAUGAUUAAUAGGGUCAGUUGGGGGUAUUCGUAUUCCGUUGUCAGAGGUGAAAUUCUUGGAUUUACGGAAGACGAACGACUGCGAAAGCAUUUACCAAGGAUGUUUUCAUCG
rnacentral:rRNA from 1 species